rnacentral:sRNA from 1 species
AGGCGCCAUUUUCGAGUGAAGGACCCGGAGCCGAAACACCGGUAGGAGCGGGGAGCGCUUUUCCUGUAUUAUCGGGCCAAAUGGCAGUGGCAAAUCCAAUGUUAUUGAUUCUAUGCUUUUUGUGUUUGGCUAUCGAGCACAAAAAAUAAGAUCUAAAAAACUCUCAGUAUUAAUACAUAAUUCUGAUGAACACAAGGACAUUCAGAGUUGUACAGUAGAAGUUCAUUUUCAAAAGAUAAUUGAUAAGAACGGCCUACAGAGAUAAUACUUCUGUCUAUCACAUAAGUGGAAAGAAAAAGACAUUUAAGGAUGUUGGAAAUCUUCUUCGAAGCCAUGGAAUUGACUUGGACCAUAAUAGAUUUUUAAUUUUACAGGGCGAAGUUGAACAAAUUGCUAUGAUGAAACCAAAAGGCCAGACUGAACACGAUGAGGGUAUGCUUGAAUAUUUAGAAGAUAUAAUUGGUUGUGGACGGCUAAAUGAACCUAUUAAAGUCUUGUGUUGGAGAGUUGAAAUAUUAAAUGAACACAGAGGAGAGAAGUUAAACAGGGUAAAGAUGGUGGAAAAGGAAAAGGAUGCCUUAGAAGGAGAGAAAAACAUAGCUAUCGAAUUUCUUACCUUGGAAAAUGAAAUAUUUAGAAAGAAGAAUCAUGUUUGUCAAUAUUAUAU